GCGACCCCAGAUCAGGCGGGACUACCCGCUGAGUUUAAGCAUAUCAAUAAGCCGGAGGAAAAGGAAACUUACAAGGAAUUCCCC
rnacentral:rRNA from 1 species